rnacentral:rRNA from 1 species
AGAGUGAACGCUGGCGGUAGGCCUAACACAUGCAAGUCGAACGGCAGCACAGUGGUGGCAAUACCAUGGGUGGCGAGUGGCGGACGGGUGAGGAAUACAUCGGAAUCUACCUUUUCGUGGGGGAUAACGUAGGGAAACUUACGCUAAUACCGCAUACGCCCUUCGGGGGAAAGCCGGGGAUCGCAAGACCUGGCGCGGAUAGAUGAGCCGAUGUCGGAUUAGCUAGUUGGUGAGGUAAUGGCUCACCAAGGCGACGAUCCGUAGCUGGUCUGAGAGGAUGAUCAGCCACACUGGAACUGAGACACGGUCCAGACUCCGUACGGGAGCAGCAGGUAGGGAAUAGUGGACAAGUGGGCGACAACGCCUGACUACCGAGACC